GGCGACGGCUGCGUUCCAGACGGUGGAUUCCGGCGGCUGCGUUCCAAACGGUGGUAAGUUUAUCAUCAAUCUCUACUUGUUGAAAUCCUAAGUCUCCGCCGCACUCCAUCCGCCUUAAUCUCCGACGCCACUCCGAAAACGGCUGGAGAGGCUGCAAGAACUGCUGGAGUGGGAGCUUAUUCAAAUAGAUUAGGAGAACCUCCUAGCCAGGUUGAAGUUGGAGAUGUGGUCAGAGGUGACUGAGACAUUAGGGUCUUCAUAUGGGACAACGGGGGUGGCGUGCUUAUGGCUAUAAUGGCGGUGACCGGAGGUUUGAUUCCAGUGUAAAGGAGUAGGCGACGGCGACGAUAUAUCCUCAAGUCGGCGGCUGCGUUCCAGACGGUGGAUUACGACAGCUGCGUUCUAGACGGUGGAAGAUACUAAUGUAGGAGACAAUUAUGGGCCACUUUUGGUUCUUAUAGGGAAUUGUAACGUGUAUGAUAAUAAGCUUGGAAGAUAUUUCGUUGAUCUUCAAGGACAUAUGGUACAGGUGAAACACAUACAAAUAUAACUAUGGAAGAAAAGCUGAAAACAUAGAGUCCCGUUUCGAACAAUUUCAACAAGAGCGCGAAAAAGAGCGGGCCGAUCAAGCUGCAUGGCAAAAAACUAUGGAAGAAAAGCUGAAAAACAUCGGAAAUAAGUAAAAACUCUGGUCUUGUUAAGUAUUGAAAUGUUAGAGUUCGGAUUAGUUUUGAAUGCUUGUAAUUUGGAUUUUUUGUGCGUUUUGGAAUGUUUUAGAAUU
rnacentral:lncRNA from 1 species